GAUGAACGCUGGCGGCGUGCCUAAUACAUGCAAGUCGAGCGAACGGACGGGAAGCUUGCUUUUCUGAUGUUAGCGGCGGACGAGUGAGUAACACGUGGAUAACCUACCUAUAAUACUGGGAUAACUUCGGGAAACCGGAGCUAAUACCGGAUAAUAUUUUGAACCGCAUGGUUCAAAAGUGAAAGACGGUCUUGCUGUCACUUAUAGAUGGAUCCGCGCUGCAUUAGCUAGUUGGUAAGGUAACGGCUUACCAAGGCAACGAUGCAUAGCCGACCUGAGAGGGUGAUCGGCCACACUGGAACUGAGACACGGUCCAGACUCCUACGGGAGGCAGCAGUAGGGAAUCUUCCGCAAUGGGCGAAAGCCUGACGGAGCAACGCCGCGUGAGUGAUGAAGGUCUUCGGAUCGUAAAACUCUGUUAUUAGGGAAGAACAUAUGUGUAAGUAACUGUGCACAUCUUGACGGUACCUAAUCAGAAAGCAACGGCUAACUACGUG
rnacentral:rRNA from 1 species